CAAAACGUUUUAAAAUGGGUAUUGCUACCUGGUCCAAAUAUUCAGUUUAUGUUUCGUCGGUUUACUUUCAGAAUUGAAAAAAAAAAUGAUUGGAAAGGAUAUUAUUUUAACUGUUCUAACGCCCCUAGUAAUGCUUUUACACAGAGAGUAUACGGAGAAAUUCUAGACGCGUUCCAUGGUGUUGUAAAUUUUGAUAUUAUAGUAAUAAAUUGGACAUUGCAUAAAGGAGAUAAUAAGACAUAACAAUGGAUUAUUUCAAAUUUUGCGUAUUUACUUUUUUAACAUGGAAAUCAAUAAACGGUGCACUUUCUAUCAACGGAUAUGGCUCGCUCAAAUUAAAUUCGCAUUUAUUAUUGGCAUGUCAAAUCAGCUCCUUUGAAGGCCCAGCAACAUGGAGUAAUUCUAACAUGCAACGUAUCACAUGUCACAAAGGAGGUUUUUGUGAUCUAGAGACUAAAGACAACUUCAAGUUUUCUGGAAAUACUUCUAGUAUUUUUGUGAUAAUAGAUCCACUAAUAAAGAAAGACGAUCACAUGACGUGGACGUGUUUUCAUGAUUCUGCGAACAUUUCUUAUACAGUUAUAAUAGAUUCUUCCCAUUCAUCAAGCCAGACGCCUUCAGGUUUGAAAAAAGGAGAAAUAGCUGGCAUCGUAGUACCUAUUUUAUUGAUUAUAGGAGCACUAACUAUAGGAGUAGUAUGUUAUUUUAAGCGGAGGAAAUCAAAAUAACAUUCUAAAUAUAACGCAGAAAUCAUGUGUGCAGGUGGUAAUACUUUUCCAUAUGAAUAAAAAAAAUUAACUUCCACAUCUUUUUCCCCUGAGAACCAAUUGUGGAUGCAGUAGAAUGUGUCCCUGGACCUGUGUUGUCCUUAUAUUAAGCAUUUUUGCUUGUGAGAGAAUUGUUUGCAUCUUCUAUUAUAAGUAUUAUAUUAAUGUUAUAUUUAUAUGUUUUUAUUACCGUAAAUCCUGAUAUGCUUUUACUAAUAAUUCUUAUGGCGUUCUUUUCUAGCCCGGUGCUAACCUUCACAAUGUUUCUACAGAAGAGGUGGCCAGGAUAACAAUAGAGAAUGCCACUAAGUAAUUUUUUCAGGCUGUUUAUUUUUAUAAGAAUUCUUCGACAGCUCUAUCUAUUGUUUCUACAUUCCGUUUUCGACUUUCACCAUUUUUUGUAUUUUGGGCAAAAUAUAGAGAAGAGUCAGAAACUGAAUAUUUACCUUGAGCAAACAAAAAUCAUUCUAUCAAUCAUGUAAGAAUGGCCUUAAUUGCAUCAUUAGCGAUUUAGAUUGGAAAGAACCAAACAGUAAAAUAACAAAAAUACCGAACUCCGAGGAAAAUUCUAAACGGAAAGUCCCUAAGCGAAUGUCAAAAUUAAAAGCUCAAACAUAUCAAACGAAUGGAAAACAAAUGUCAUAUUCCUGACUUGGUACAGACAUUUUCUUAUGUAUCAAAUUGUGGAUUAAACCAGCAAUUGCAGUCUUGAGCAUUGAUACAGUAAUAAAAUGAAAUUUGAGAGGCAAGAAGGCGUCUGGAGUACAUAAAUAUAACCAUAAAAAACACUAGUUGUACCAAUUAGUUGUUUUAUUUUCAUACAUGAAAAUGUGUGUAUUGAAGGAAACUUGAAUCCUUGCUCAACUGCGGCCAAGAUAUCAUGUCUCUAUGAUAAAGUUUGCUACAGAAUAAAGCUUAACGGAAUAUUACACUUAUAUUCAAUACAUCAUUUUGGCUACAUAUUUUAUAAAUCGAACCAUCUUGAUCAAUUAUCGGAUUUAAAAUUCCAAAUGAAAUGUUGUCCAAAAUGUACAAAACUCAACAUACUGUAAACCAACUAGUUGUCGCGACUUUCGCGAGAAGAAAGAUAACGCGAAUUGUAAUCGUUGCGAAUAUGUGAAACUCUGAUUUUUCCUAUGUAUGAAUAUAUCAAAAAAGUGAAAAGAUCGUAAAUAUAAAUUGCCGCGAAGUAGCUUUGGAUAGACUGAUACAUUCGUAGAAUUUAAAUUCGGACAUAUUAUUCUGACUACGAACCACUUAAUUUUGCUUAACCUUCAUCAUGUUGUUUGCCGUGUGGUAAGCAGCAGGCACUAAUGUUAAAGCCUUCUUUUUGAAUUAGAAUAGGGGUUUGAACGCGUACUCCUGAACUACGCAAACCGGGCCAGGUACUUCGAGACCUGCAAGGUGGUCGUAUAAUUAAGAGUAAAUUGAAUUGAAAAAUUAGGGAAAGUCGUUAAUAAUUUAUGUGUCCCUUGGAAGAAAGGGAUAUAUAUAUAUAGUUUUACUUUGAGUUCGUCUUGCUCUUUUUCUGGUUGAUAUUUUCUUCUCCUGCAACUGUCGUAGUAACAGAACCUUUUUUACAUAUCUUAAGACUUAUAGAUUAUCGAUACUUUUUCGACCGAGAACGUGGUUCUCAGCUACAAUCUCAGUGCGACAUUCAGUGUUUGAUUAAUAAUUCUUUUGGUAUAUAAGCCUAAACUUUUAUCAUGUUUGCGUAUGGUGUUUCAUUCAAUUUGCCAUAGUAGUUUAAUUACGAAAUAGUUGAUUCUCUGCUUCGUAUCAUAUGAUUUUCAUUGUAAUAUUUUCCUUUAAAAAAUCUGGUCUAUACUUUCGUUCUUCUGUGACAUAUAAAAUGUAAGAGAGAUUAUAAAAGGUUGGUCUUUUAAAGUAUGAAGUCAUUCAUAGCAUAGCAACAUACUUAUUUUAUAAAGGUAUAUGUCUAUAUUGACUAUAAAGUCCAUGACACUGUUAUGAUAAGACUGUUGCAUUGUAAUUUGCUUUCAUUAUGACUAUUUUCCAGAACAAUUUUUUUGUGAAAUUCAUCUGUGACAUAACAGGAUUGUUAGUUAUCCUCUCUCCACACAGUUUAUAGAUUCAUUAGGCGUUUCGCAUCGAUGUGUUUAAUUGGAAGGGAGAUCAUUAAUUUAGCUCUUUUGUGUUCAAAAUUAAAUUUCAAUUUGACUUUUGUUCGUCUCAAAAUUAUAAUUACAUUAUUGUUACAUUUUUUACCCACCUGUCCAAAAGUCUAUUUACAAAGAGAAACGCAUAAUUACGCGUUCGGGGUACCUUUCUUUACUUUAAAUGAGUUGACUCAGAUAGAUAGUUGUCUCAUGAAAUAGUCCUAGCUCGAAAUAAAAACAUUUAAUAUACCUUACACAUUUUCAGUCCUAAGAACAACGUUGCGUUUUAUUCCUUGAAUGCCUACAUUCUUUCUUCUACCGACAAAUUCCAAGUGCAAAAGUGUUGACAUUCAAGUUAUUGGGUGAUUAAAGAAAGUGUGGUCAACACAAAUAGUAAUUAUAAUAUGUCCAGAGUAGAUUGGUACAGUUCAAGGUUGUGAUACUAUUAUGUACGGUUUGUUUGCAAUGCAUAAAUCUGUUUCGUUUUUAUAUCUAUUAGUUUAAAAUGAUUAAACAGUUUUUAGACUGAAUGAUAAAAGAAGUUGUUUAUCAAUUGAAGCAUAAAUAAACAUAACUUAAAUAGCGUACACUGAGUUUGUAUAUACAUUAAUUCCAGUAAUUGUUAGGGAAUCAAUUACUGUGUGUUUUUUGUUUUGUUUUAUGUAAACAGAUACGUUCAAUAAAAAUCAAAUUUGCUUGCUAAAUUAAGAUCCAACUAUUGUGAUUCGAGCGUCAACGAUGAGUCUUUUGUAGAAGAAACAAAAUAUAUAACUGGUGUUUUAGAUGAGCUUUUCAACCACUGGGUCAUUGCCACUGCUGGUGGACGUAUCACCAGUCUAGUAAUCAAUACUUUUAUAUUCACAUAAAAUAUCAUUGAUAUGUUCCUUUUCUGUAAAUGUACUGUUCGGAAUAUAUUUCGUAUCUGGAUCAAUUUUUAUGAAAUUUAGGGUACAUAUAUUUAAUGCUUUUCAAAUUUGAUUUUGAUUUGACCUUCCAACCGGUUUGAUUUGAGCGUCAUCGAGGAGUCUAUGUAGACGAAAGGACCGUCCGGUGUAACAAGUUAUAAGCCUGGUAUUUUUUCCUGCGUUUUUGACAACUACAGGUACGAUGCCACUGCUGGCGAUUGUUUCGGUCCCAGUAGUAUCACAGUAGUCAGUGCUUUUUUGUUGACGUAAUAUAUCAUUAAUAUUUUCAUUUUCUGUGAAUUUAGUGUUUAUAAAAUGUUGCAUUUAGUAUUUGAUUUAACCUUUCAACUGUUUUGAUUCGAGCUUCAAUGAUGAGUCUUAUGUAGACGAAACGCUUACUAAAUAAGUUUAGUUUCUAUAAUGAUAUUUUGUUAAAACGGGAAAAGUUUAGUCUAUUUAUCGGUAAUUUGUGCAUUUUCCCUAUGAUGUGUACUCGCUGAUAAUGUCAGUAUCAGUGGAGAGGUCGUGAUAAAAAAAUUAUUGGGUCAGUUCGCAAAUUCCCUUUCAUUCACAAAAUCGCGCGUGAUUUUUUUUCGCAGAAACGCACGAGUUUUUUGGUGAAUAAAACACUUGUCAUUGUUUGAAACUUUCAGAAAAAGUUAUUUUAGCCUUUUCGAACGAUUGUGUGAAAAUUUGAACAGAAAAUGUACGAAAAACCCGACAAAUUUGCGUUUUCUGCAGUAUUAUUGGUAGCUUACCUUAAUAUUCACAAGGACGUCGUAUAACUAGCAUAUCGUCUAUGCUAUGCCGAUCUGAGUUUUUAUUCCUUCAUAGUCUGGUGCUGUUCCAAGAUGUCUUCUUUUUUUGCUUCUUGAAAAGUAUUUUAUAACCUGUUCAGUCACUAUAAAGUGUUACAAUUCAUAUUUAAACGCAACACAUAAAUAGUAGGUUUGGCAACAAGUACUCGAGUACUCGCUCGGAAGGUCAAGUACUCGAGUGCAAUUUUAGUACUCGGAUACUCGUUUGCCUUUUAUAAAUCUUGCUUAUAUAUUUCCCCUGACUUUAGUUCCCUUUUGAAUAUCCUUCGUAAUACUAAUAAAAAUAAUAUCUAUUCACAACGUAAAUUCGUUUAUCCUUACUCCUAUGUGUUAUAGCUUUAUCUCAGUUUUAUCUAUAAUCGCAAAAUUAAACGUGUUUCAGCAGUACCAGCAUAGCCCGUUCCUUUCGAGAGGAUUUUUUUUUCAUGUGCAGGACUUGUUGUAACAAAAUUUAGAAACAUCUUUCAUCUGUAGUUGUGGGUACAAAAACAAAAUCAAAGUGCCCUGCGGUGAACCUUACUUAACUGAUUAGAGACAUUUGUAACGGUCUUUCUACACGGAUUAACACUUGCAUGAAUUAAUAAUAGUUGUAAACUUAGUACUAUUUAUCUAAUUACUACUUGUCUUUGUUUGUUAAUCAAGACAUCUUUGUUAACGUGAUUGGUAUGAGAUCUACAUUUAAUGUAAUAAAUGCAUAUUUGAAAUUU